CCUACGGGAGGCAGCAGUGGGGAAUAUUGCACAAUGGGGGAACCCCUGAUGCAGCGACGCCGCGUGAGUGAAGACGUAUCUCUGUAUGUAAAGCUCUAUCAGCCGGGGAGAAAAUGACGGUACCUGAAUAAGAAGCCCCGGCUAACUACGUGCCAGCAGCCGCGGUAACACGGCGGGAGCAAGCGUUAUCCGGAUUUACUGGGGGUAAAGGGAGCGUAGACGGGAGUACAAGUCUGGCGUUAAAUGCGCGGGCUUAAACCCCGAACGGCCUUGGAAACUGUGCUGCUAGAGUGGAGGAGAGGUAUGUGGAAUGCCUGGUGUAGCGGUGAAAUGCGUAGAUAUUACGAGGAACUCCGGUGGCGAAGGCAGCAUACUGGACUGUAACUGACGUUGAGGCUCGAAAGCGUGGGGAGCGAACAGGAUUAGAUACCCCAGUAGUC
rnacentral:rRNA from 1 species